rnacentral:rRNA from 1 species
ACGGAGGAUGCGAGCGUUAUCCGGAUUCAUUGGGUUUAAAGGGUGCGCAGGCGGACUAAUAAGUCAGUGGUGAAAUCCCAUAGCUCAACUAUGGAACUGCCAUUGAUACUGUUAGACUAGAGUAUAUUUGACGUAGGCGGAAUGCGACAUGUAGCGGUGAAAUGCUUAGAUAUGUCGCAGAACACCGAUUGCGAAGGCAGCUUACGAAACUAUAACUGACGCUCAUGCACGAAAGCGUGGGGAUCAAACAG